rnacentral:rRNA from 1 species
UGGGUGAUCUGCCCUGCACUUCGGGAUAAGCCUGGGAAACUGGGUCUAAUACCGGAUAUGACUGCGAAUCGCAUGGUUUGCGGUGGAAAGCUUUUGCGGUGUGGGAUGGGCCCGCGGCCUAUCAGCUUGUUGGUGGGGUGAUGGCCUACCAAGGCGACGACGGGUAGCCGGCCUGAGAGGGUGUCCGGCCACACUGGGACUGAGACACGGCCCAGACCUCCGUACGGGAGGCA